AGAGUUUGAUCAUGGCUCAGAUUGAACGCUGGCGGCAGGCCUAACACAUGCAAGUCGAGCGGUAGCACAGAGAGCUUGCUCUCGGGUGACGAGCGGCGGACGGGUGAGUAAUGUCUGGGAAACUGCCUGAUGGAGGGGGAUAACUACUGGAAACGGUAGCUAAUACCGCAUAAUGUCGCAAGACCAAAGUGGGGGACCUUCGGGCCUCAUGCCAUCAGAUGUGCCCAGAUGGGAUUAGCUAGUAGGUGGGGUAACGGCUCACCUAGGCGACGAUCCCUAGCUGGUCUGAGAGGAUGACCAGCCACACUGGAACUGAGACACGGUCCAGACUCCUACGGGAGGCAGCAGUGGGGAAUAUUGCACAAUGGGCGCAAGCCUGAUGCAGCCAUGCCGCGUGUGUGAAGAAGGCCUUCGGGUUGUAAAGCACUUUCAGCGGGGAGGAAGGCGGUGAGGUUAAUAACCUCACCGAUUGACGUUACCCGCAGAAGAAGCACCGGCUAACUCCGUGCCAGCAGCCGCGGUAAUACGGAGGGUGCAAGCGUUAAUCGGAAUUACUGGGCGUAAAGCGCACGCAGGCGGUCUGUCAAGUCGGAUGUGAAAUCCCCGGGCUCAACCUGGGAACUGCAUUCGAAACUGGCAGGCUAGAGUCUUGUAGAGGGGGGUAGAAUUCCAGGUGUAGCGGUGAAAUGCGUAGAGAUCUGGAGGAAUACCGGUGGCGAAGGCGGCCCCCUGGACAAAGACUGACGCUCAGGUGCGAAAGCGUGGGGAGCAAACAGGAUUAGAUACCCUGGUAGUCCACGCCGUAAACGAUGUCGAUUUGGAGGUUGUGCCCUUGAGGCGUGGCUUCCGGAGCUAACGCGUUAAAUCGACCGCCUGGGGAGUACGGCCGCAAGGUUAAAACUCAAAUGAAUUGACGGGGGCCCGCACAAGCGGUGGAGCAUGUGGUUUAAUUCGAUGCAACGCGAAGAACCUUACCUGGUCUUGACAUCCACAGAACUUAGCAGAGAUGCUUUGGUGCCUUCGGGAACUGUGAGACAGGUGCUGCAUGGCUGUCGUCAGCUCGUGUUGUGAAAUGUUGGGUUAAGUCCCGCAACGAGCGCAACCCUUAUCCUUUGUUGCCAGCGGUCCGGCCGGGAACUCAAAGGAGACUGCCAGUGAUAAACUGGAGGAAGGUGGGGAUGACGUCAAGUCAUCAUGGCCCUUACGACCAGGGCUACACACGUGCUACAAUGGCAUAUACAAAGAGAAGCGACCUCGCGAGAGCAAGCGGACCUCAUAAAGUAUGUCGUAGUCCGGAUUGGAGUCUGCAACUCGACUCCAUGAAGUCGGAAUCGCUAGUAAUCGUAGAUCAGAAUGCUACGGUGAAUACGUUCCCGGGCCUUGUACACACCGCCCGUCACACCAUGGGAGUGGGUUGCAAAAGAAGUAGGUAGCUUAACCUUCGGGAGGGCGCUUACCACUUUGUGAUUCAUGACUGGGGUGAAGUCGUAACAAGGUAACCGUAGGGGAACCUGCGGUUGGAUCACCU
rnacentral:rRNA from 1 species